rnacentral:rRNA from 1 species
CUGGCGGCGUGCCUAACACAUGCAAGUCGAGCGAGGAGAUUCCUCGGGAUGAUCCUAGCGGCGGACGGGUGAGUAACACGUGGGCAACCUGCCUCAUAGAGAGGAAUAGCCUUCCGAAAGGGAGAUUAAUACCUCAUAACAUUGCAGUUUCGCAUGGAACAGCAAUUAAAGGAGCAAUCCGCUAUGAGAUGGGCCCCGCGGCGCAUUAGCUAGUUGGUGAGGUAACGGCUCACCAAGGCGACGAUGCGUAGCCGACCUGAGAGGGUGAUCGGCCACAUUGGGACUGAGACACGGCCCAGACUCCUACGGGAGGCAGCAGUGGGAAAUAUUGCACAAUGGGGGAAACCCUGAUGCAAGCAACGCCGCGUGAGUGAUGACGGCCUUCGGGUUGUAAAGCUCUGUCUUCAGGGACGAUAAUGACGGUACCUGAGGAGGAAGCCACGGCUAACUACGUGCCAGCCGCUGC